GUGGGUAUAGCUCAGCUGGUUAGAGCGCCAGAUUGUGGUUCUGGAUGUCGCGGGUUCGAAUCCCGUUACUCACC
rnacentral:tRNA from 1 species